rnacentral:lncRNA from 1 species
CAAAGGCAGGCAAGGAAAUUUGAGGUUGUUGCAUCUGGAAGUAAACAUGUAGCUACUUCUUCUAAUAAAACAGAGCUCUUAGGUGCUCUGACCCUGGAGGAGAGGGAUUUCACUGAGAUGAGAAGGAUGCGUGAUGGGAUCCAUGGGCACUGGAGGCUUAUAUUUCCCUCUCAUGCCAUGCUCAAGUGAUGGGAGGGCAGAGGCAUGAGAGGGUGCUAAGGGACUAAACGCCAUGGCCACAGGAGUCAAGAAGUGCACAGAGGGCAUGGAUGCGUUGGAAAGGGGAGGUGCUGGCCUUUUAAAGAUCAUAUGGCUUGGACAAGGAACAUGCAUGAGAGAAGUAGUGGACUUUUCAUUUCCUGCCCUGGGCCUUGCCAGUGGAGGUAGGACCCCCAGCUCUCUAGAAAAGUAACAUUUAACCUUUUGAGACUCUGAUGAAAGGUACAGGGCCUUCUAGAAAAGUUUACAAACACACAUAGACACAAAAAAAUGCAUAGAAUUUCAUGGGGUUCACAGACAUGUGUCUUAGAUAAAGAAUCCCUGCGCUAUAGCAGGGGAACUGAAGAUUCUGGGUGUUCCAGAAGUGGCACAGAGGGUCCUGGACACAGCUGGUAACAGCAGACUGGGGAUGCAAGAUGCAAGGUGGACAUGGUGGUGGCAGAUGCACUCCCCAAACAGCAGGCCCUUUAUUGUCCUCCUGUUGACUGAAGUGCUCUGAUGGUCAACAUGGACAACAGCCCCAGCUGUUUCUAUAUAAGGAAUACUUAUGAGCUCAAGAUUGCCUCAAAUGGGAGGAAGGAAUUACAGUCUGGGCAGGGAAGGAGGAAGAAAGGAGAUCAAAGAUAACACAAGCGAAUUCCAAUUUGGACAGCUGGGAGUUGAU